rnacentral:snoRNA from 1 species
UUGCGUAUGGAAAUAGCCGUUCCUUAUUCCUGGUAGGAGCAGGAAUACACCCAUAAUACAUUUAAUGCUACAUUAAAAAAGGAGUUCUCAAAAAAAA